rnacentral:rRNA from 1 species
GACGAACCGGACAAACGUUAUUCGGAAUUACUGGGCUUAAAGGGUUUGUAGGCGGCCUUGUAAGUCAGGCGUGAAAUCCCUCGGCUCAACCGAGGAAUAGCGCUUGAUACUGCAAGGCUUGAGGGAGACAGGGGUAAGCGGAACUGAUGGUGGAGCGGUGAAAUUCGUAGAUAUUCGGAAGAACACCAGUGGCGAAGGCGGCUCACUGGCCCGGUACUGACGCUGAGAUACGAAAGCGUGGGGAGCAAACAGG